rnacentral:rRNA from 1 species
UACGUAGGAGGCAAGCGUUGUCCGGAAUUACUGGGCGUAAAGCGCGUGUAGGUGGUGGGACAAGUCUGCUGUGAAAGUGCCUGGCUUAACCGGGCGAGGUCGGCGGAAACUGUCCGACUCGAGGACGGUAGAGGGGGGUGGAAUUCCCGGUGUAGUGGUGAAAUGCGUAGAGAUCGGGAGGAACACCUGUGGCGAAAGGCGGCCCCCUGGGCCGGCCCUGACACUGAGACGCGAAGGCGUGGGGAGCGAACGGG